GAUGAACGCUGGCGGCGUGCCUAAUACAUGCAAGUCGAGCGAACAGACGAGGAGCUUGCUCCUCUGACGUUAGCGGCGGACGGGUGAGUAACACGUGGAUAACCUACCUAUAAGACUGGGAUAACUUCGGGAAACCGGAGCUAAUACCGGAUAAUAUAUUGAACCGCAUGAUUCAAUAGUGAAAGACGGUUUUGCUGUCACUUAUAGAUGGAUCCGCGCCGCAUUAGCUAGUUGGUAAGGUAACGGCUUACCAAGGCAACGAUGCGUAGCCGACCUGAGAGGGUGAUCGGCCACACUGGAACUGAGACACGGUCCAGACUCCUACGGGAGGCAGCAGUAGGGAAUCUUCCGCAAUGGGCGAAAGCCUGACGGAGCAACGCCGCGUGAGUGAUGAAGGUCUUCGGAUCGUAAAACUCUGUUAUUAGGGAAGAACAAAUGUGUAAGUAACUAUGCACGCCUUGACGGUACCUAAUCAGAAAGCCACGGCUAACUACGUG
rnacentral:rRNA from 1 species